CUAUACAUCAAUAUGCUUUUUGUAGUUAAUAUUAUUAGUUUUACAAAACUUAGUACAAAUAUAGUGGAUGAAUUUUUUUCUGUAUUUUAUUUUAAAGUACACUUUACUAGUAUUUUACAUUUUCAUUCAAUGUAAAUGUUUAUACGUACCAUUUGUCUUAAAAUGUUACAUGCAUAUACCUGGUAUACAUAUACAGGUCUAUUAUUUGUUGUUUUGUUCCAAAUGCUUUCUGUUCAUAUAAUAGCAUUUGUUAUUUUUGUUUACAAGUUACAUUUAUUGAGUUAUAUACAUGUACCGGUACUAGUAUUACAUCUGAGAAUGGUGACAAAAUAGAAAUAAUACGCUUACAUUGCUUGUUUCAUUUGCAAUCAAAAAAGUAACAUGUAU
rnacentral:sRNA from 1 species